CAAGAAUAGGAGUAUAUCGAACUCCUAGUACUCUCGAGGUAGCUUGUGGAUAGCAGAUAUCGUCAAGGAUUAUAGUCGGCUUUACUACUCCAAAAACUGUAGGUUUACUGCCUUUGUGCACUUUUGUUUCUUGUGGGCCCACGAG